rnacentral:tRNA from 1 species
AAGACUUUAAGUUAAAUCAAACUAAUAUCCUUCAAAGUUAUAAAUAAAGAAAAUCUUAUCUUUAAGUCUUA